AGUGAACGCUGGCGGCGUGCUUAACACAUGCAAGUCGAACGAGAACGGAAUAUAGCUUGCUAUAUUUGUCAGCUAAGUGGCGCACGGGUGAGUAAUGUAUAGAUAACCUGCCCUUAAGAAAGGAAUAACAGUUGGAAACGACUGCUAAUGCCCUAUAUGCCUUUAAUACAUAAGUAUGCAAGGGAAACGCUUUAGUGCUUAAGGAUGGGUCUGUAUGGUAUCAGCUUGUUGGUGAGGUAAUGGCUCACCAAGGCUAUGACGGCUAACUGGUUUGAGAGGGUGAUCAGUCACAAUGGAACUGAGACACGGUCCAGACUCCUACGGGAGGCAGCAGUGGGGAAUAUUGCACAAUGGACGAAAGUCUGAUGCAGCAACGCCGCGUGGAGGAUGACACAUUUCGGUGCGUAAACUCCUUUUAUAUAGGAAGAUAAUGACGGUACUAUAUGAAUAAGCACCGGCUAACUCCGUGCCAGCAGCCGCAGUAA
rnacentral:rRNA from 1 species